rnacentral:tRNA from 1 species
GGUGGCUCAAUAAUAGAGUGCUUGCCUUGCAUGCAUGAGGCUCUGGGUUCGAUUCCUCAGCACCA